rnacentral:rRNA from 1 species
UACAGAGGGUGCGAGCGUUGUUCGGAAUUAUUGGGCGUAAAGCGCUUGUAGGCGGCUUGUUAAGUUCCGUGUGAAAUCCCCAGGCUUAACCUGGGAAGUGCGCGGAAAACUGGCGAGCUUGAGUGCCGGAGAGGGUCGCGGAAUUCCCGGUGUAGAGGUGAAAUUCGUAGAUAUCGGGAGGAACACCAGUGGCGAAGGCAGCCCCCUGGGCUAACACUGACGCUCAGGCACGAAAGCGUGGGGAGCAAACAGG